AGCGAACGCUGGCGGCGUGCCUAACACAUGCAAGUCGAACGUGAACGGGGCAACCCUAGUAAAGUGGCGUACGGGUGAGUAACACGUAGGUAAUCUACCUUACAGUUCGGAAUAACCUGACGAAAGUCGGGGCUAAUACUGGAUAGAGCGACGGAAACCGUAACGGUUUUUUCGGGAAAAGGGAGCUCGAUAAGAGCCUUCGCUGUAAGAUGAGCCUGCGUCUGAUUAGUUAGUUGGUGGGGUAAUGGCCUACCAAGACGAUGAUCAGUAGCUGGUCUGAGAGGAUGAUCAGCCACACUGGAACUGAAACACGGUCCAGACUCCUACGGGAGGCAGCAGUGGGGAAUCUUGCGCAAUGGACGAAAGUCUGACGCAGCCACGCCGCGUGAGUGAAGAAGGCCUUCGGGUUGUAAAGCUCUGUCACCUGGGACGAAAACACUUAAGGUUAAUAGCCUUAGGAAUUGACGGUACCAGGGGAGGAAGCACCGGCUAACUUCGUG
rnacentral:rRNA from 1 species